GCCAGCCUAUUGAUGACGUCAGUGCACGCUCUGCCACGACAGUGUUUUUGUCGGUUUUAUGAGGGAAAACAGCGAACCACGAACUGCUGGGCAACAAGAGUUACGCUGAAUGUAUAUUGACGUUGCCAUACUGAUGAUAAGCCCUGCCGUCUGCUCCACUUCCCACUGCCCAUGACCAGACAAGCAAGUAUUUCUAACAGCAAACUGAAACUCCUCCAGCAAAGAGAAGUCUGCUGGCAUGCAUUCACGUCAUUGUUAGCUUAAGGAAAGGGCUAAACGAAAACCAAAGGAAGAAAAAUACUCAAAGCCUCGUCAAAUAUUGCAGCCUUGGCAUGCGGAGCGAGUUUUCAUGGUGCUCGUGAAGGAACUAUUGGUACUUGGAAGUCCAUCCAGCUGAAUAAAAGUAAGCACCCGUUUUAGAAACACUCUGUGUCUUAUUCGUCGAAGCCAAGAGCUGCUACAAAAACCCUCAACACCCUGAAUAAUUCAUAGCAGAGGGGUAGUCUUUAUUACAUGCAGGGUACAUAAAACAAUUUACAUAUGCUCACUUAAAAAUGCACUAUAAUACGGAUCUCUGGCCAAUACUGUGAUUAUAUGUGAGAUAAGAACAUACUGAAUUAACACUGAAACAAAACUUGUCUUACCUCCUCAUCUAGCUGGCUUGCAAACUGAAAACAAACCUAAAGGAAUUCUACAAAUGAGACUGUGGCUAACCCUUUUCCCUAAAUACCAUCUGUCCAUUUGAAGCUCAGAAUACUAACUAGGCAAGCUCACCUCUGACAAACUUUCAGAACUUUAUAAUAUGCCACAACUUUGGUGUGGUGUAGGCACUAAAUGUUUUUCCUGAGAAUCAUUUACCCUGCAGUACAGGAACAGUGCUGCUCUUUUAUUUCCAUAUCAUGAGGUUUCCCACUUUUGCCUGCGAUCUCUAGGCUUUAGUUGUAUUUUUAUUCUCUAUUUUAGGCAGCAAGGAGUGCAUAGAGGGAAACUCUUGUUGUACCUUUUUGAAAUUUUGUAUUGCUCCAAUACACUCCUGCAAAUGUCACAGCAUAAAAUAUCUUCCAUGCCACUGAAAACUCCAUUGUUGACAUGCCAGCUUGUUAGUUGUAGUGUCAGUAAACAAGGGGAGCAGGACAAGGCAAGGGGGCUUUUUUCUUAAAAAAGUAAUUGUAAGUUGUUUUAUUUAUUUUGGUUGAUCUAAUUCCUUCAUUGAUAGUUAUUUUGAUCAUGUUAUUAUUUUUGUUUACUAUAUUAUUGUAAUGUGUCUUUAUAUAUGUCUUACAGGGCCCCACUGUAAAUGAGACUUUGGUCUCAGUGAGCUAACCUGCCCCUGUAUAAAAAAAUACAUAAAUAAAAAUUGCCAAGGUGGUUGAUUGGGGCAGGACAAGGUAAACAGUGCUUUAAAAUCUAGAUGUUCCCUACAAUAUCAAAGUUAAUCAUUUUUCUCUACCACAGCAGUGAGACAUUUGUGCUUGGAGUAAAUUUGGAAUAAAAUGACACUAUGCUAAUGUGUAACAUUAAUAGGUGAUGAAUAUUUAUGUAGUAUAUUUAUGUAGCUAAAUAAGUGUUGUAGUUGUGUUUCUAUGUGAAAGCUAGGCUAGUCUUGCUAACACUUAAUCACAGGAUAGCCACUACUUUAGACUAGACCUUGCCACUGAUUUUUAGUAGUUAGUUACUAUAAAAUGGGCUUUGGGUUUCCCAGACCCAAAUUAAGCCUAAGCCUAGACUAAACAGAAUUUGAAACACCGUUGUCGUAAUUCAGUCCAAGACUGAGCUAAAUACAUGUCAGAAAAAAACCUAACCAAAUCAGACUAAUAAAAAUAAUCAGAGUUCAAGGAGUUAGAAUUGUUGGGUUGCUCUUUCAACAGCGCUUACUAAUGAUCAGCACAUAUUUAAUUAGCUCAUGAAGGGUUUGAGUUAACUCUUGUUAUGUUAAUGCUAAAGAGUUGAAUCACAUCAACCAAUCACAUAAGAGGUGGAUCACAUCUAGGGCUGAACGAUUAAUCAUUUUUUAAUCGAAACUGCGAUUUGAAUGAGCCAAUAGCCUGUAGGUUUUACAAAAGAAAAAUCCACCCAAUAAAACGAACGCGCAAACUUCCUUCUGAUGACCAAUCAGAAGCCGGUAAUCAUGCAUAUGCCCUGCCUGACAAAGAAGCACAACUAUUAACAAGGAGCUUCGCACUAGAUGUUAGGGAAAAGAUGAGCACUUCAUCUGAACAAGUGAGUGAGGCCCAAGGUCCGGUGGAAGAGCUGCUACCAAAGAAAAACAACACAUCAUGUGUGUGGGAGUAUUUUGGUUUCAGGAAAACUGACAUGCGUCAAAAACAGGUACUGUAACAGGAACAUGUCGAGCAUCUGUGCUAACCUCACGAGGCAACUCCACAAACCUCGAUCAACAUUUAAAGAAGAAUCACAGACAUCUGUCCAGCCAUAAACCGCGACCUCAGUCACAAUUUCCUAACGUGAUGGCCAGGCAAACCUCCGUUCCACAGGCAUUCGAAAGCAUCACGCCAUAUGAAAAAAGCAUGCGAAGGCACCAUGAGAUAACAGACGCUAUUGCGAAGUACUUAGCGAAAGACGUGGUGCCGAUUUACACAGUGUCUAAAGAUGGCUUCCGAAACCUUCUCCAAACACUUGACAAAAGGCACCAGAUUCCCUCUCGCACAUACUUCAGUCAAGUCGAUAUUCCAGAACUUUAUGCUUCGUGUAGGAACAAGGUUGAAACAGCUUAGAAAUCUGGAGUAUUACGCGACAACUACAGACAUGUGGUUGAGCCGAACAACUGAACCUUACCAAAGCCUCACUAUUCACUUCAUAAGUGAAGAUUUUGAAUUAAAGAGUCGUUGUCUACAGAUGUCAUACUUUCCUCUUGACUAUACGGGAGAGAACAUCGCUACUGGAAUGAAAGAUGCUUUGGCCAGCUGGGGUCUGAAUUAAGAGGGGCAAGUGUAUGUUACCACAGAUAACGCUUCCAACAUGAUAAAGGCAGUUGAAAUAAACGAGUGGACCAGGCCACAGUGUUUUGGCCACAGACUCCAUCUUGCGAUCGGUAAGUGUCACAUCAAAUCACAUUUAUAAAUCGCUCUCUCUCCCUCUGAGUAACACAUUAUUUAGAUGAAAUCAUAUUCUGGUUAUACUAACUCGAUCAUUUUUUGGAGUAACAAACUGUAUGCUAUCUGGAUUGUCAUAUGAUUACAGAAAUAAUGUCACUGUACUUA